GACGAACGCUGGCGGCGUGCCUAAUACAUGCAAGUAGGACGCAGUUGCGAACGGGUGAGUAACGCGUAGGUAACUACCUAAUAGAGGGGGAAAACUAUUGGAAACGCUAGCUAAUACCGCAUAAUCGUAGAUGGAACUGCGUUGUAUUAGCUAGUAGGUAGGGUAAUGGCCUACCUAGGCAACGAGACAUAGCCGACCUGGGAGGGGGAUCGGCCACAUGGGUGGUGAGACACGGCCCAGAGCUCUACGGGAGGAAGCAGUAGGGAAACUUCGGGAAGGGGGGGAACCCUGACCGGGCAACGCCGGGGGAGGGAAUAAGGUUUUCGGAACGGAAGGCUCUGUUGUUAAGGAAACGGUACUUAACCAGAAAGGGACGGCUAACUACGUGCCAGCAGCCGCGGUAAUUC
rnacentral:rRNA from 1 species